rnacentral:sRNA from 1 species
AUGCUGUCAACCUGUAAAACAAUCCCCUGAAUCCUCCCACAGUGCUCGUAGGGGCGAGUUCUGGGCCCUCAAAAGGGCAGUGGCAAUAAGCAAUCUAGGACAGAAUGACAUCAAGGUUGCCACGGGAAGGCCCUGUUGGGAUUUGCACAGAGAAGGGCGGCGGAAGGGUGUCCAGGCAGAGGAAACAGGAAAUGUGGCCGGGAAGCAGAGUUCAUGUGAGGGUCAGGAAGGGAGGGGAGCAAGAAAGAAGGCGAGAGAGAGGAGACCGGAGGUCUGAGCUGCGGCCACUACACAGGCCUGGAAUUCUACCACAGGGAAUUUGGUGGGCGCCUCUAAAGGGCUUUAACCUGCAAUUAAUGACAUGGUUGCUGAAUGGCUCCUGUGGGCAAGAGAAUAGGUGGUUUGGGGGACACACGGGUUGGAGGCCCGUGGAUAUCCCAGGUGAGAAAUGGCACCGGCUCAGGGCACUAGUGGUGGGAUGAGAGCGCGCGGAUCUGAGCCCCCUUCAGAGGGUGGGACAGGGGAGACUUGGUAGGUGGUUAUGAAGGGCUGGCCAGAGAGUGGCCAAGAGACCCCACUUGGCUAUUCCAAUGGUGGUGGCAUCUUUCUCCUGAAGUUGAGGACCCUGGAAGGGGCUAAGGCUCAUGCGGGGCCCCUGACACUGGCUGAGGUUCCCCUCCCCGCCCAUCUGCUUGUCUGCAGCAGCACGAGUCUCUGGAAAAAGACAACCUCGCCCUGCGGAAGGAGAUCCAGGCCCUGCAGGCCGAGCUGGCGUGGUGGAGCCGGACCCUGCACGUGCAUGAGCGCCUGUGCCCCAUGGAUUGUGCCUCCUGCUCAGCUCCAGGGCUCCUGGGCUGCUGGGACCAGGCUGAGGGGCUCCUGGGACCUGGCCCACAGGGACAACAUGGCUGCCGGGAGCAGCUGGAGAUGUUCCAGACCCCGGGUUCCUGUUCCCCAGCUCAGCCGCUCUCUCCAGGUCCACAGCCUCAUGAUUCUCUCAGCCUCCUCCAGUCCCCCCUGCCCUCACUGUCCCUUGGCCCCGCUGUGGUUGCUGAACCUCCUGUCCAGCUGUCCCCCAGCCCUCUCCUGUUUGCCUCGCACACUGGUUCCAGCCUGCAGGGGUCUUCCUCUAAGCUCAGUGCCCUCCAGCCCAGCCUCACGGCCCAAACUGCCCCUCCACAGCCCCUCGAGCUGGAGCAUCCCACCAGAGGGAAGCUGGGGUCCUCUCCCAACAACCCUUCCUCUGCCCUGGGGCUUGCACGUCUGCAGAGCAGGGAGCACAAACCUGCUCUCUCAGCAGCCACUUGGCAAGGGCUGGUUGUGGAUCCCAGCCCUCACCCUCUCCUGGCCUUUCCUCUGCUCUCCUCUGCUCAAGUCCACUUCUAACCUGGUCUUCGGAGCUGGGUUGGCCCCUUCUUUGGGCUCAGGAAGCAGCCUUAGCACACGGGCCUCUCCUCCCUCGCUACUGGGUGCUGCCCUGCGUGGCUGACCAGCUGGCCCAGGAUUUCACAGUCGAAAAGGAAGCCACCACUGAUGCCUCCCACUGUGACAGGCCCUGUCACCACCAAUAUCUUAUUUCAACCUCACAGUUGACCUGAGAAAUCGAGAUUAUCACUCCACUUUUUCAGACAAGGAAACUGAGGCUCAGGGAAGCCAAGUGACAAGUCCAAGGUCACGAAGACUUUCUUGGAGCUCGAAACACCACCCUCUGCUCCUCCUUCUCCUGUCCUGGCCCAGGCAUCCUAGGGGCUGAAAUCCUGGAAACCGUGGGCUGGUGUGAGAAGGUUUGCAUGCUCAGAGCAGAGAAGGGCUCUCCCCGCUGCUUCGUGAUUCCAGGGCCAGAGCCAUGCAGUCCCAGAAACCCCAACCUAGCUGGGGCAGGUCCAGAGUCCAAGCCCUGGUGGGUAGAGGCCAAGCAGAAGCCCUGAAGUGGACUCUUGCUUCCCCUAGUAGUGUUUUCAGUGCCAAGAAGCUGAAACUGUGAGCUGGAGUUGGGGAGAGGCCUGGAAGAGGACCAUCUGGGAUUUCUACAGCCUGGGUACCCAUAGCCACACCAAGGCUUCUGGGAGAUUCUGCAGGGUCAGCUUUCCAGGCUGUUCCCAAAUAGCUCCCUGCCUCCCCACUGCCCCUAAAGCCACAGCAGAAGAGCCAUUCAUCUCAUAAACAAAAAGGAAGAGGAAAGAAUGAGGAAGGACUCUGUGCAACGUUAUUUGCAGGCAGGGAUGGGCUUGUACCUGACAGCACCCACCCCUGUGUGGCCCCCAGGCCCCCAUCACCCUCAGACCCCUCCUAAGCAGUUCCCUCAUUGCUCUUUGGCCUAGGCUGACAGCAGGAAGAGCAGGGCCCAGGACCCGGUGGAAGUUCAGUUUUGGUGUCUGCUUCAAGAGGGGGUUUUACACUCUGAUUCCAGGACAAGCACUCUGAGGCGGGUGGGGGAGAGAAACCCUGGCUCUUCACCCAGGUUUCACACACAUGUAAAUGAAACACUAUGUUAGUAUCUAACACACUCCUGGAUACAGAACACAAGUCUUGGCACAUAUGUCAUGGAAAUAAAGUGUUUUGCAAUCUU